rnacentral:rRNA from 1 species
GAUGAGCGCUGGCGGCGUGCCUAAUAUAUGCAAGUCGAGCGAACAGACGAGGCGCUUGCUGCUUUGACGUUAGCGGCGCACGGGUGUGUAACGCGUGGAUAACCUACCUAUCAGACUGGUAUAACUUCGGGAAACCGGCGCAUAUACGGGAUGAUCUAUUGAUGCGUAGUGUUGAUUGGUGAAAGACGGUUUUGCUGUCUGGUCUAGCUGGAUCCGCGCCGCAUUAGCUAGUUGGUAAGGUAACGGCGUACCAAGGCAACGAGGCGUAGCCGAACGGAGAGGGUGGGCGGCCACACUGGAACUGAGACACGCUACAGAGGCCCACGGGAGGCAGCAGGAGGGAAUCGGGCGCAAUGGGCGGAAGCCUUACCGAGCAAGGCCGCGGGAGGGAGGAGGGUCGUCGGGUCGGAAAACUCUGUUAUUGGGUAGGAAAAAACGUGUAAGUAAGAAGAAGCGUGUGGACGGUACCUGAUUAGAAAGGCACCGGCUACCACCGGG